UUUGAUUUGACUUGACGCCGAAUAGCAAUGUCCGACUUUGGACCUGACAGGAACAGCCCGGCUUCUCCUAAACAAGAUAUUUCAUCACUCCAGCAGCAGCAACAGGAUGGAUGUUCAUCAUCAUCUGUAUCAUCAUUUUGACAUCUGACACCCGUCGUGCUGUGGGGCCAUUAAGUAGCGGAUGCAGCUGAUUCCCAGCUGCAGGCGGCCCUCUCAAUGGUCUCUCCCACCAUGAAAGCGUUGGUGGAUGCCAUAUGGGCGGUGUGGAGCAUCGGGGCCUCAAUUUAUGACUACAUCAACACCAAUGCCAUGGAGGAGCGCAUCCACGCCCUGGAGAACGUUAUCACCAUCCACCAGUGUGUGAUCGGGCUGCUGUCUGCAGGCGUAUUGGCACUCUUCAGCUACAUCCUCUUCAAGAAGCUCUGAGAUGUGGGUAAGGGGUGGCCUGGGGGCGAUGUGGGGGACGUGGACUGGCCAGAAUGAGACAUUGGUGUCCGGUGUGGUAAAGCUGGUCAAGCAGACAAAGGGGAUUUUUUUUAUACAUUGGACACAAAGAGGAGAUGGCGUGGGACCUAACACAUACAUGAGCACACUGCUUUUUUCAGACGAGGUGGUAGGAAGGUGCAGCAGUAUGUGGAAAAAACACUUCACCACAAAUUAUCGUUUAGUAACUUCAGUUUAGUGCCACAUUUUGUGAUAAAUCUGUUUUGGGGAAAAAACAUUGAGGUUCAUGUCCUUAUCAUCAGUAAUGUUGUGGUUGUGGAAGUGAACAUGUGGAGCUAAAGAAUCUAGCAGCGGCUUUUUAAAAGGCCAGUAUAGAGUUUUUGUACUGAUGAUGAAGGAUUUUAUGUGCCGCUAUUCAAUAUAUUUAAAUUUUGAUUUAAUACUCAACUUUAAUGGCUUUACAACCAAAAGGAUUCCUUGUCCCCCGUCACAGAAAACUUUCUUCUUAAGGGAGUUAAAAUGCCUCUGAAAAAGCAUUUAGACCAUCAUGGGACAUUGUGACUCAGCUGCUCACUGCAAGUCUUGCAGGCUGUUGACUAAAAUAUGUCCUUCACACAUUUGAACUAUCUGAAAAUAUCAAAAGACAACAAAAAUAUCCAGUGUCAGCACAGACACUCAGUGUGCAGUGAAUAUGAAAUGGCCAAUAUGCAAGUUUUUUUGCAAAGCCCAAGUAGCUGAACAUAUCAGAAACCCAGUACAUCUGCCAACACUAUCAGAAACCUCUACACACACACACUGAAGUAUUAGUGUGGUGUCAGUGCUACGUCAAACUCAUGUUACACUGAGACGGCUUCUGCUGACAGAAUGCGUCUGGGCAUUGCCCCCACACUGUAAUUCACUCUUUUCUAAAGGGAUCGUCAGUGAAAUGAAUAGUUCGCCAUAACAACUUAUGCCUUAAUGCGCAUCAUGUUCAAUUUUGCACUGAUUUCCUCAAAGCCUAAGAAGCCCUGAAACUAGUUUCUGUGAGAAAGAUGAUCAGAGAGUGCAGAGAUACUUUAAUAUCUCAAAGGUCUUCGAUAGUGUCAUUUCACAUUGUCACACCCUAAAAUCUCGUGUUACAAUUUUAUAGGUGUGUAUUAUCUACAUUAUUAGACUUUAAAGAGCAACAUCAUGAUCCAUUUAUAUAAUGCUUUUUCCAUUAAUGUAAUACCUCAUAGCUGUUAAAUUACUGUAGUUGCCUCUGCUGUAUAAAACAAUGUAUACUGUUUAUAACAAUUUGAAGUGUCCUUAAAAACUGUAAAUAUAUUUGGAUGUAUAUGGACAGUUUUGUUUAACCCGCCAUUGUAACGUUUCAUAGAUGUGCAACUGUCCCAUAGUACUACUGCUGCUUAAUAUUUGUUUUUUUUUGUUUUUUUUAAAGGCGACAUUUUGUACCAUGAAACACUUGCUCAAUGUGUGAAAUUAGUAUUUUAGAGGAUAAUGGAUGUUUUUGUCAUAGUUACUUAAACUAACCUGUGGUGGGUCAUUGAAAACUAUUUCCAUAUGUGAUGUUUGUUUAUCUGUGAACAUUUGUUAUGUCUCAGAGGGACCACAACAGAGAACACCCCAGAAUGAAAGACUGUUUUAAUAUGUUUAACAAUAUAACACCAUCAAAGUUUGUGUGGAAUUCAAUUAAACUGGACACCUUUAUAAUA